rnacentral:rRNA from 1 species
UAAAGAUCCGUCGGAUGAGGAUAGGCUCGCGUGACAUUAGCUUGACGGCGGGGUAACGGCCCACCGUGGCGACGAUGUCUAGGGGCUCUGAGAGGAAGGUCCCCCACACUGGAACUGAGACACGGUCCAGACUCCUACGGGAGGCAGCAGUGAGGAAUAUUGGUCAAUGGCCGGAAGGCUGAACCAGCCAUGCCGCGUGAAGGUCAGUGCCCUAUGGGCGUUAAACUUCUUUUGUGCGGGAGCAAUAAGGUCCACGUGUGGACCGACGAGAGUACCGUACGAAUAAGCAUCGGCUAACUCCGUGCCAGCAGCCGCGGUAAUACGGGGGAUGCAAGCGUUAUCCGGAUUUAUUGGGUUUAAAGGGUGCGUAGGCUGUGAGGUAAGUCAGCGGUGAAAUGCCCCCGCUCAACGGGGUGAAGUGCCAUUGAUACUGCCUUGCUGGAAUGCGGAUGCCGUGGGAGGAAUGUGUGGUGUAGCGGUGAAAUGCAUAGAUAUCACACAGAACACCGAUUGCGAAGGCAUCUCACGAAUCCGCUAUUGACGCUGAUGCACGAAAGCGUGGGUAUCAAACAGGAUUAGAUACCCUGGUAGUCCACGCUGUAAACGAUGAUGACUAACCGUCGGCGAUACACAGUCG